ensembl:lncRNA LINC01138 long intergenic non-protein coding RNA 1138
GGGGAUACAGCAGGAAGUUGCCAUCUAUGAGCCAGAAGGGUGAACCUCACCCCAGAUGCUGAAUCUGCCUUGAUAUUGGACUUCCCAGCCUGCACAACUGACAAACUGGAAACACAGGUUAUAUCACCAAGGCUUUGACUGAAACAUCAUGUUUUCAGAUAUGACCAGAAGGCUUUAGGGGACUAAAGUUGGCUUUAUGGAACCAAUAAAGUACCAUCUUGGAAAAACUGGCUCUAGGGUUCCCAGACUUACAGGCACUGUACGUGGCACUGAGAAUGCAAAGCAAAACGAGUCAUGGUCUACUGGCGGGAGCCUUCUCAGCGGAGAAAAGAUCAACAAGAAAAGUGCCUGCUGGAGACCUCUCCUAGGGCAUAAACCAAUAUAGAGGUGGGGCAGCUACGUCAGCCUGAGGUGUCCUUAGGCAGAACAGAAAGUGAGAAUCAGAGCAGUAUCUCAUUUCUGAACACCUGGAUUGUAGCUUUCCCUGGACUGACUGUCAAAGGAGGUGGUUUUAAAAAGCAAGCCAAACAGGUUUCCAUCCUUUAGGAAGACCCUGGAACGUGCCAGUUGAUUCUGACAAUUUCUCAUGAACAGAAACACCUAGGAAGGGAGAACUGUUCUGUUUCAUCAAAUGGAAAUGGGACAUGGACAGUUUCUCCUAUCCCAUGCAGACCAUGCUCCUGAAUUAAAACUGCAGAAUGUGUUAAAGCAUCAUUCAACAUCGUGAGCACAUUUGAGAUACUGUACAGGACAACCUGCUUUUCAUAUUCUCUGUGAAUUUCAAAGACGACUGGGAUUUUCUUCCUCCUCUACCACCCUGAACAGCAAGACCAAUACAUCCUGUAUUUCCUCCUCUUCAGCCUACUUGUGAAGACAAGGAUGAAGACCUCCAUGAUGAGCCAUCUCCACUUAAUGACUGUCUCACAUUGGCCGGCAACUUGUUCCAGUUUGUGUCUUCCAGAUUACAAUAAUUCCAUGUAAAGAUGAUGCUGGCACAAGGCUUUCAACCCAUCCCCUCUUCUGACCCAGAAGAUAAAGACAUCCUACCUUUGAGCCUUUUAGAACAGGUAUCCAGGGAUUUUACCUCUCCAGUGCUAGGCAGGGUCUAUGCCCAUAACAUCAGCAGGAAGCAGUUACAGAAGAUGAACCUCCGCCCUUCUGCAAGCCCCUUAAGAUUAAGGAGGAGUAUAUAAUCUCUGAUGGGGAAAUGAGGUAGGAGACCAGAAGGACUUAUUUUCCAUUCCCAACCCCAUUGAACAGAGCAGGAUCUGGUCAAAACAGGGUGCAGUGGAGAAGCCUGCUGAAACCAGCAGAUGAUGAUGAAAGUGACCUCUAGUUGCCCUCACUGCUUAUGAGCAUAAAGACACUACCACUGGGACCAUGGCCAGUUUACAAAUGUCAUGGCAACACACCUUGGCAAUGGCCUGGAAGUUACUUUAUAUGGUUCUGGAAACUCCCUGCCCCUUUCCCAGAAAGUUCUGAAUAACCUACCUCUUAAUUGGCAUGCAAUUAAAAGUGGCUCUAAAUACAACUAGCUAGUAGCCCACAGGCACAAACUCUGGGCACACUGCCUAUAGGUUAGCCCUGCUCUGCAAGAAGUAGCACCAGUUCAAUAAAAGUUGCUUUCUCUC